CAGUGACGAAGGUAGAGGGGGGGCAGUGGGGGCACUGGGCCCCACUGGAAAUUUCAAAAAAAACUAGGGGUAUUUUAGUAAUUUCACAAUAAUAUUAAAUAAAUAAUUAAAUAAUAUUAUUUUAGUUUCAAUCCUAGUUUCUCCCUCGUUGAUUGCGGUUCUCCCAGAAAUUCGCUCUCUCUCCCCGCAAUCAGCAACUCCAACGCCGCCCCUACUCCAACGACGACGCUGCGACGACCCUCACCACUACGGCACCGCUGCUCCAUCAACACUGCAGGUUGCACAUCAUACUAAUUCAGAGUAAGAAUAUCCCCAAAUCACAAGCCCUAAUUCAAUUUUAUGAUUUUUCCCUUUAAUAAACAGGGUAUGCGUAUGAAUAAUAUAAUCAAUUAUCAACGAAGCUGGUUCGCCUUGCAAAGCUUUACCCGUCUGAAUUUUCUGAAGUAACUUUGUAUGAACUUGAAAGUCAACUUGAGAACUUUAUUUUUGUGUGCGCUUAGAUGAAAAGUUCUCAAAAUUAUUAGGGAUCGGAGGUCUGGCUCAAAAGAUGGUUUCUAC
rnacentral:lncRNA from 1 species